ACCCGCACAGAGUACGUAACCACAACCCACUACCAGACGCACACGCAGUACCAGACGCAGUACCAGCCACGCUUCGUCACCCAAACGCAGAUGGUGCCCGAAUACAUCACCCAGACAGUGCCUCAGUACGUCACCAGGACGCAGUACCAGACGCAGCACGUCACCGUCACCAAGCCAUGCCCGAGCUCAGGAGGCAAGUGAUCCUUAACCAGUGAUAUAUUUUCAGCUUAGAGCAUUGCCAAA